CCUACGGGUGGCAGUAGUGAGGAAUAUUGGUCAAUGGGCGAGAGCCUGAACCAGCAAAGUCGCGUGAAGGAUGACGGCCCUACGGGUUGUAACCUUCUUUUGUCAGGGAGCAAUUGAGUCCACGUGUGGUCUUAGCGAGAGUACCUGACGAAAAAGCAUCGGCUAACUCCGUGCCAGCAGCAGCGGUAAUACGCGGGAUGCGAGCGUUAUCCGGAUGUAUUGGGGUUAAAGGGUGCGAAGGCGGAGGUGCAAGUCAGCGGUCAAAUUGCGGGGCUCAACCCCGUACUGCCGUUGAAACUGCAUCCCUUGAGUGCGCGAGAAGUAUGCGGAAUUCGUGGUGUAGCGGUGAAAUGCGUAGAUAUCACGCAGAACUCCGAUUGCGAAGGCAGAUUACCGGAGCGCAACUGACGCUGAUGCACGAAAGCGUGGGUAUCGAACAGGAUUAGAUACCCGAGUAGUC
rnacentral:rRNA from 1 species